rnacentral:rRNA from 1 species
AUGUAUUUUUCUUCUUGCGAAGCGUACUGGCAUAUGUUUGCUUUCAAUAUACAUGGUCGUGAGCCUGCAGUGGAGAGAUUGGUUGUGCACCUUCCUCGAUUCUUCAUUACGAGUUACCUUGGAACCAGGAAAGUUGCUUUAAUUUUUGUUGAUAAGAUGACAAAAAAUAAUGGAUACAAUUAUGGAGAAAAUAAAUUACUUUGGCUUAACAACCUACAACCAACUGAGCCAUGCUUGUCAUACUACUAUCUGCUGCCAUUUCAUGGUAUUUUCUACUCCCUCCGUUCCAAAAUAGAUGACCCAACUUUAUACUAG